CACUGCAGGAAAGUACAUCCUUUAAGACCAGCUAUCUCCCAUCACUAUUAAGAAACCUGAAAAAUGAGACCUAGAAUGAAGUAUUCGAACUCCAAGAUUUCCCCGGCAAAGUGCGACAGCACAUCAGGCAGAGCCCUGGUCCCGCCUUGCAAAAUCACAAGAUCCCAACAGAAGACCAAAGAUAUCUGCCAUGUCUACUGCAUGAGGCUCCGUUCUGGCCUCACCAUAAGAAAGGAGACCUGUUAUUUUGGAAAAGAACCCGCCAAAAGAUAUUCACUAAAAUCAGGUAGCAAGCAUGAAGGGAGGCUCUCUACCUGUUUACCAGAUUCUAGGAAGAGAUCCCUGCUUGGCAGUAUCCAAGCGUUUGCUGCAUCAGUUGACACACUGAGUAUCCAAGGAACUUCACUGCUAACAGAAUCUUGUGCCCUGAGCACAUACAACGACCAAUCUGUUAGUUUUGUUUUGGAGAAUGGAUGUUACGUGAUCAAUGUUGAAGAUUGUGGGAAAAACCAAGAAAAAGAGGAGACGGUGUGGAUGGGAAGAAGCUGAUGGUGAACAUGAGUCCUAUCAAAGACACAGACAUCUGGCUGAAUGCCAAUGACAAGGACUACUCUGUGGAGCUCCAAAAGGGUGAUGUCUCUCCGCCAGAUCAGGCCUUCUUUGUUCUUCACAAAAAGUCCUCUGACUUCGUUUCAUUCGAAUGCAAGAAUCUUCCUGGCACUUACAUAGGAGUAAAAGACAACCAACUGGCUCUGGUAGAAGAGAAUGAUGAGAGCUGUAACAAUAUCAUGUUUAAGCUCUCUAAGAUGUAACGUAAUAAAAGGUCUGUGCCUUCUGGGUUAAAUGGUUCAAUGCUUCCAACUGAAGAAAGGCCAACAGAGAGAAAGAAAGCCGUUCUUGGUUUAAGAUGAUGUGAAAUGUUAUAUAGAAGAUUUUCUCUUAUUUCCUUUUGUAGAGCUGCAUGUUCAACAAAGACGUGAUUCUAUGACUUAGGGCAAUUGGUAAAGAAACAGAUUCAGUCCUGCCCUUUCCUUUUCUCUGCUUUGAGUCCUGCAUGAAAUCACACUCACAGACCUGUUCAGAAGAGCACGCACCACAGCUCACGUUUUGCUUUCAAAAAUCUUCAUCAAAAGAAAACAACAAAACAAAACUAAAAAAAUAAAAACCCUACACAAUUUUCCCUGGUUCUAAGCCAAAGAUUGUAAUACUAGAGCAGUUGGGGGGGAGGACCAGCUAGAGGGAGGACCAGCUAGGGGGAGGACCAGCUAAGGGGAGGACCAACUGCCCCAGAGACUGUUCAGAAUAAAAUGCCAAAUGCAUCGCUAUAUGCCCCAGGCACCCCUCAGAUCAGCCCUUUCUGUCAAGAACCCUAGCACUCCAGAUGUCUACAUGUCUAGACAGACAAGUCUGUGUUUGUGAAGUGGAGUGAUAUUACCUGCGCUUGUUUCCUUCUUAAAAUUCCAUUUUUUUUUCAACACAGCAACUUAACUUUAAGCAAGCCAGCUUACAUUAGGAAACGAAACACAUUUUAGUUCGCACCUGUGACUGAAAUCAUUGACGAUAUUUAACAAACUUCAAGUCUUCUGUAAGAACUAACCAGGGACAUACACUAGGGUAUCUCAAUAGCAUGGGAUCCCAUGGUGCAGUCAGAAGUCCUCUUACUAGAAAGACACUAAAUUGACCUCAACUUUUCAAUAGCUGGUUAUUGCCUAUGUUUGUGGCAUGCUGUGUCCUUCUCGCUGACUUCCGAAGAGCUGAGGCUUUCGAUGCACCCAUCUACUUGGAUGAAAUGUCUCUGCUGCCUGUCUGCUUGCUUUCCUUCCACACAAGUUCUGUUCUGCCCCUUCUUUGGUUCUUUUGACCAACAUAUCCGUAACAGGUCUCCUUCUCACUAAGCAUUGUUUCUGUUUUCUCUGAUGUCUAUACGCCAUCCGCUGUAUUUAGUCUGCAAUGCAGAAUUUUACAUAGACUUACUGGUUACAAGCUUGUUCCUUAAACUUUGUGUAUGUUUAAGUGUUACUAAAGUAGUACUAAAGAAAGGUUUGUAUUCAACCACGUAGUAAUAUUUCAAGCUACUAAAGGAAUAGUUUUACCUAUUUAGACAACAGCAAUUUCUACUACAUUUUUUAUAAGCUUAAAACUCACUAUGUAUACAAUAGCCGGUGGGGUGUAGAACAAAAGAGGCCAGGAACCACCGUAUACAAUUAGAGCGGGUAUAAUUGUUUCAUUAAUUUGUCACAGUUUUACUGUAAAGGAAAGUAGAGGCAGAAUCUUUAUACUCCCCCCGAAAACCACAAUGCUGACUCUAUGAAUCUGCACGCCAUCCUUAAAAUAGUAAUUAAGUAGCCAAAUGUGUUCUUGACGUUGUUCACAACUUUGAAUAAACUAAGUUUCAAAGCC
rnacentral:lncRNA from 1 species